rnacentral:rRNA from 1 species
CGUCCCGCCGGCGACCGGCGCACGGGUGAGUAACACGUAUGCAACCUGGCCGCCACAGGGGGAUAACCCGCGGAAACGCGGCCUAAUACCCCGUGACGCCACCGGAGGGUAUCCUCCGGUGGCCAAAGGAGCGAUCCGGUGGCGGAUGGGCAUGCGGCGCAUUAGCUAGACGGCGGGGUGACGGCCCACCGUGGCGACGAUGCGUAGGGGUUCUGAGAGGAAGGCCCCCCACACUGGGACUGAGACACGGCCCAGACUCCUACGGGAGGCAGCAG